rnacentral:rRNA from 1 species
GACGAACGCUGGCGGCGUGCCUAAUACAUGCAAGUAGAACGCACAGUUUAUACCGUAUCUUGCUACACCAUAGACUGUGAGUUGCGAACGGGUGAGUAACGCGUAGGUAACCUGCCUGGUAGCGGGGGAUAACUAUUGGAAACGAUAGCUAAUACCGCAUAAUAUUAAUUAUUGCAUGAUAAUUAAUUGAAAGGUGCAAUUGCACCACUACCAGAUGGACCUGCGUUGUAUUAGCUAGUAGGUGAGGUAACGGCUCACCUAGGCGACGAUACAUAGCCGACCUGAGAGGGUGAUCGGCCACAAUGGGACUGAGAAACGGCCCAGACUCCUACGGGAGGCAGCAGUAGGGAAUCUUCGGCAAUGGACGAAAGGCUGAACGAGCAACGCCGCGGGAGUGAAGAAGGUUUUCGGAUCGUAAAGCUCUGUUGUAAGAGAAGAAAGGGUGUGAGAGUGGAAAGUUCACACUGUGACGGUAUCUUACCAGAAAGGGACGGCUAACUACGUG